AUCUGCCUCGUAGUGGGGGAUAAGGUUCGGAAACGGACGCUAAUACCGCAUACGUCCUACGGGAGAAAGGAGGGGACCUUCGGGCCUUGCGCUAUCAGAUGAGCCGAGGUCGGAUUAGCUAGUUGGGGAGGUAAUGGCUCACCAAGGCGACGAUCCGUAACUGGUCUGAGAGAGAUGAUCAGUCACACGGGAAGUGAGACACGGUCCACGCUCCUACGGGAGGCAGCAGUGGGGAAUAUUGGACAAUGGGCGAAA
rnacentral:rRNA from 1 species